CUUAGAUCUCGAGAAUUUCGGGCUUCGGCUCGACUCUCCCACCCUUUUGUGAACGUACCUCUGCUUGCUUUGGGCGGCUCCGGCCGCCAAAGGACCUCCAAACUCCAGUCAGUAAACGCAGACGUCUGAUAAACAAGUUAAUAAACUAAAACUUUCAACAACGGAUCUCUUGGUUCUGGCAUCGAUGAAGAACGCAGC
rnacentral:rRNA from 1 species